rnacentral:rRNA from 1 species
AUUGAACGCUGGCGGCAGGCCUAACACAUGCAAGUCGAACGGUAACAGGAAGCAGCUUGCUGCUUUGCUGACGAGUGGCGGACGGGUGAGUAAUGUCUGGGAAACUGCCCGAUGGAGGGGGAUAACUACUGGAAACGGUAGCUAAUACCGCAUAACGUCGCAAGACCAAAGAGGGGGACCUUAGGGCCUCUUGCCAUCGGAUGUGCCCAGAUGGGAUUAGCUAGUAGGUGGGGUAACGGCUCACCUAGGCGACGAUCCCUAGCUGGUCUGAGAGGAUGACCAGCCACACUGGAACUGAGACACGGUCCAGACUCCUACGGGAGGCAGCAGUGGGGAACAUUGCACAAUGGGCGCAAGCCUGAUGCAGCCAUGCCGCGUGUAUGAAGAAGGCCUUCGGGCUGUAAAGUACUUUCAGCGGGGAGGAAGGGAGUAAAGUUAAUACCUUUGCUCAUUGACGUUACCCGCAGAAGAAGCACCGGCUAACUCCGUG